rnacentral:rRNA from 1 species
UACGGGGGGGGGCAAGCGUUGUUCGGAAUUACUGGGCGUAAAGGGCGCGUAGGCGGCCUUCUAAGUCGGACGUGAAAUCCCUCGGCUUAACCGAGGAACUGCGUCCGAUACUGAAAGGCUUGAAUCCGGGAGAGGGAUGUGGAAUUCCAGGUGUAGCGGUGAAAUGCGCAGAUAUCAGGAAGAACACCCGUGGCGAAAGCGGCUCUCUGGAACGGUACUGACGCUGAGACGCGAAAGCGUGGGGAGCGAACAGG